rnacentral:tRNA from 1 species
GCGGAAGUAGCUCAGGGGUAGAGCGUCUGCCUCCCACGCAGAAGGCCGCGGGUUCAAAUCCCGUUUUCCGCU